UAAUUAAUAUCUAGAAGAAGUUUAUUAUAUUUGAAAAGGAUUUUGAAAGUUAGAUUUUUAUUUCAUUCUAUGUAAAUUCCCAAGAUGGAAUAAUUUUGGGGAAUAACCAAAUAUAAAUUAAACAUUACGCCAAGCACGGUGGCUUAUGCCUGUAAUCCCAGCACUUUGGUAGGCUGAGGCGUGCUGAUCGCCUGAAGUCAGGAGUUCGAGACCAGCCUGACCACCAUGGAGAAACCCCGUCUUUACUAAAAAUACAAAAUCAGCUGGGCAUUACCAGGGCUUUUAGAAUGCUUUUUCUCAUUUGCUGUGGACACGACCAUAAAAAAAUUUCCCAGUAGGUUUUCUAUCUACUACCUUUCCAGCAAUCAGCCUAUUGGGAAUAUUUGAUUAACUGUAAUAGAAAUGCAAUACAAAUAUAAUGUGAGCCACAUGUGAAUUUUCUUUUUUUUUUUUGAGACGGAGUUUUGCUCUUGUUACCCAGGCUGGAGUGCAAUGGCGCGAACUCGGCUCACCGCAACCUCCGCUUCCUGGGUUCAGGCAAUUCUCCUGCCUCAGCCUCCUGAGUAGCUGGGAUUACAGGCAUGCACCACCACGCCCAGCUAAUUUUUUGUAUUUUUAGUAGAGACGGGGUUUCACCAUGUUGACCAGGAUGGUCUCGAUCUCUUGACCUCGUGAUCCACCCGCCUCGGCCUCCCAAACUGCUGGGAUUACAGGCGUAAGCCACCGCGCCCGGCCCAAAUUUUCUUUUUUUUCUAAUAGCUGUUUCAUCGGUAAUCAAUGAGAUUUUAAAAUUGUCUUUUGGGCAGUGUAGCCUAGAUCUCUUGAAUCAUGCAAAUGUGCUUUGCAUUUGUCUUGUAACCCUUGUGCAUUAUAACCCUUGGGGGCUGCAGUUUGUGUGUAGCCGUUAACUCAGGCUGGUUCAUUCAUGUUCACUCACUGUACAAUCAUCUCUGGAAAUGUAAAUUUUACUUUUAUAUUUUUGUUAUGUAGGGCUGACAGGACAAGUAGAUUAAAAUAAGCAUCAGUUUCAUUAAAAAGGGCUAACCUGAAGAUAAAUCUUUUCACUCCAACUCUUAUUUUUUUUACUUUUUUUUAAAAAAACCUUUCUGCAAGUCUGACACUCCAACUCUUUAGAGGAUCGAAAGUGACUUUGAUGGGCAGUAGAAGGAAUUACAACAUGGAAUUCCUUGAAUAAAAAUUGAUUGACUUAAAAAAAAAAAAAAAAGCCUGGCGUGGUGGCUCACACCUGUAAUCCUAGCACUUUGGAAGGCCUAGGUGGGUGGAUCACCUGAGGUCAGGAGUUCAAGACCAGCCUGGCCAUCAUGGUGAAACCCCAUCUUUUAAAAUUAAAAAAAAAAAAAUGUGUAUUGACUUUAAAAAAAAAAAUGGCACAGCAGCUGUGAAUCCAACGGCUACAGAUCUCACGUUUGCAGGGCAGCCUGAAUCCGUCAGCCCCCGAAGACCUCAGCAGCCAUGUCGAGGCCCCAUAGUGAAGUCGGGACUGCCUUCAUUCAGACCCAGCAGCUACAUGCAGCCAUGGCUGAUACAUUCCUGCAACACAUGUGCCGCCUGGACAUUGACUCACCACCCAUCACAGCCUGGAGCACUGGCAUCAUCUGUAUCAUUGGCUCAGCUUCCGAUCAGUGGAGACAUUGAAGGAGAUGAUUAAGUUUAGAAUGAAUGUGGCUCAUCUCAACUUCUCACAUGGAACUCAUGAGUACCACGUGGAGACCAUCAAGAACGUGCGCGCAGCCAUGGAAAGCUUUGCUUCUGACCCCAUCCUCUACCAGCCUGUUGCUGUGGCUCUGGACCCUAAAGGACCUGAGAUCUGAACUGGCCUCAUCAAGGGCAGCGGCACCGCAGAGGUAGAGCUGAAGAAGGGAGCCACUCUCAAAAUCACGCUGGAUAACACCUACGUGGAAAAGUGUGAUGAGAACAUCCCAUGGCUGGACCACAAGAACAUCUGCAAGGUGGUAGAAGUGGGCCGCAAGAUCUACGUGGAUGAUGGGCUUACUUCCCUCCAGGUGAAGCAGAAAGGUGCUGACUUCCUGGUGACAGAGGUGGAAAAUGGUGGCUCCCUGGGCAGCAAGAAGGGUGUGAACUUUCCUGGGGCUGCUGUGGACUUGCCUGCUGUGUCAGAGAAGGACAUCCAGGACCUGAAGUUUGGGGUUGAGCAGGAUGUCAAUAUGGUGUUUGCGUCAUUCAUCCACGAGGUAGCUGAUGUCCAUGAAGUGAGGAAGGUCCUGGGAGAGAAGGGGAAGAACAUCAAGAUAAUCAGCAAAAUCGAGAAUCAUGAGGGGGUUUGGAGGUUUGAUGAAAUCUUGGAGGCCAAUGAUGGGAUCAUGGUGGCUCGUGGUGAUCUAGGCAUUGAAAUUCCUGCAGAGAAGGUCUUCCUUGCUCAGAAGAUGAUGAUUGGGCGGUGCAACCGAGCUGGAAAGCCUAUCAUCUGUGCCACUCAGAUGCUGGAGAGCGUGACCAAGAAGCCCCGCCCCACCCAGGCUGAGGGCAGUGAUGUGGCCAGUGCAGUCCUGGAUGGAGCUGAUUGUAUCAUGCUGUCUGGAGUGACAGCAAAAGGGGACUAUCCUCUGGAGGCCGUGCGCAUGCAGCACCUGAUUGCCCGUGAGGCAGAGGCCACCAUCUACCACUUGCAAUUAUUUGAGGAACUCUGCCGCCUGGCGCCCAUUACCAAUGAACCCACAGAAGCCACCACUGUAGAUGCCGUGGAGGCCUCCUUCAAGUGCUGCAGUGGGGCCAUAAUCGUCCUCACCAAGUCUGGCAGGUCUGCUCACCAGGUGGCCAGAUACCACCCAUGUGCCCCCAUCAUUGCUGUGACACGGAAUCCCCAGACAGCUCGUCAGGCCCACUUGUACCAUAGCAUCUUCCCUGGGCUGUGUAAGGACCCUGUCCAGGAGGCCUGGGCUGAGGAUGUGGACCUCCAGGUGAACUUGGCCAUGAAUGUCGCCAAGGCCCAAGUGACAGCAAAAGGUGACUAUCCUCUGGAGGCUGUGUGCAUGCAGCACCUGAUUGCCCGUGAGGCAGAGGCCACCAUCUACCACUUGCAAAGGCUUCUUCAAGAAGGGAGAUGUGGUCAUUGUGCUGACUGGGUGGUGCCCUGGCUCCGGCUUCACCAACAGCACCAUGAAUGCUGUUCCUGUGCUGUGAUGGACCCCAGAGUCCCUCCUCCGGUCCCUGUCCCACCCCCUUCCCCCAACCCAUCUAUUAGGCCAGCAAUGCUUGUAGAGCUCACUCUGGGUUGUAAUGUGGCAUUGGUGGGCUGGGACACCAGAGAAGAAGAUAAACGCCUCGAUGAAACAUGGCUGUGUUUACAGCCUGCUCUGGUAGGACAGCUCAGAGCCUGGCUGCCCAUCAUGUGGCCCCACCCAGUCAAGGGAAGAAGGAGGAAUGCCAGACUGGAGGCCCCAGGAGCCAGAUAGCAAGAGGGUGACAGCUUCCUUUCCUGUGUGCACUCUGUUCAGUUCCUUUAGAAAAUGGAUGCCCAGAGGACUCCCAGCCCUGGUCUGGGGGCAGGAAAUGGCCAGCGAGAGUUAGGGGCCUUAGCACACAGGGCACUUGUUCCAUUUAAGCUGACUCUGGCCCUGGCCCUUACUUGAUUCCCCAACCCCCUGGGCCUCCCCAGUUUGCACCUGUCCCCGCCCUCUACUCAGCUGUCCUGCAGCAAACACUCCACCUUCCAUUUUCCCCCACUACAGCAGUGCCUCCAGGCCUGUUGCUAUAGAGCCUACCUGUAUGUCAAUAAACAACAGCUGAAGCA